rnacentral:lncRNA from 1 species
CUUUUUUCAGAAGGCGGUAUCAAUUUCCCGUGUGUAAUACAAAAUGACUGAAAAACGGCAAACUUCGCAGGGCUAUAUUCCGCAUUUUACAACAUUUCGCAACGAAACUUCGGAAUAUUACUAAUUUCGUGAUGCUCUUUCACGCUGUGAUGAAAUUGUUGUCUAGAUCAAAAUUUUGUUCAUUAGGAAAUAGGUCCAUUAAUUAAAACAAAUUAUUCCUCUGCUACCGCCAACGAUGACAUAUACAAUAAUGUCUUUAUUAUGAUGAACAAAGACAUUUAUGUAACCGAGUCUGAAGCGCGGGUCUGAAGCUUUUAUUCAACAAAUAUUGCUACAAAGACAGUUGUUAGAACCUUUUCAUAGUUCUUCUACAAAUAGACAGAUUUUGCCGCGUUGUCUGUUCAGUUAUAGAUACACGGUAUGACGUCACACUGUGUAUUACCCAUUGGUAUUAGGGACGGACCAUUAGAUAUUUGAGGGGGGGGGGGAGUUGGACAAUUUUUCUGUGCACGAAUUUUUUUUCAUCCCCCAAUUGCUUGCAAGAAUUUUUUUCUGCAACAUUCCUUUGCACAAUAAAAAUUUUCCCGGAACGUUCGCCAAAAAGUUCGUCGACAGGGGGGGGGGAGGGGAAAGAGGAGGAAGGCAUAUUUUUUUCGAUUGUCAUAAAAACACCAUUUUAAUGUUUUAGAAUAAUUGCAUUACGAUUUUUAAAAUCAGCCCUAGUUCUUGCUCGAUUUUUUUUUUCAAGAUUUUUGUUGUACACGAUAUUUUUUUCUGGCUUCUUUCUGUGCGCGAUUUUUUUUUUGGUAUUUCCCCCUCCCCUCAAAUAUCUAAUGGUCCGUCCCUUAACACAUCUGUUACACAUUAUGACGUAAUACUGUGUAUCUAUCUUUAUACAGUUGUAGAAAUUAUGUUCAACAGCUCAACCUAAAGUGGCUUAAAAAUGUGUUUGUAGUAAAGUGCUUCAGACUUUGUUAGUACCCUGCAGCGAUCUACUUGUGUAUGCACCACGUCACUGACAUGUAUAUCACAUUUAUAUUGAAGCCUAAGCCUAAGGCCCCACUACUUUUUGCCAAAAAAAUCUACACACAUUAUUACAAGAAAAAUAUCGCAAACUUUUGCAAAACGAUACAGAUGAUCAGAUCUUGGGUAUAUUUUUAAACAAUUUUUUUAUAGAGUUGAAAAGAGUUUGGAAGUACUUAAAUAGGCUAUCUUCAAUAAAACAUGCCCCUCUUUAUCGAAACAUUGUUUGGAAAACGGGCGAUCAACUUUAAAUCCCCAAUCAGUUCUAAAAUCCCCCCCCCCCUAAUUAAAUUAAGACCAUACUGCACAAACGUUUGACUCGAAAACUUCAGUAAAAUAAUGCACUAACAGUAACUCAAAAUUUUUAGUAAAAUUGCCCGAGUUUAUUACCAACAAAUUUGCUCAUUUUUUGAGUAAAGAGAAUCUUUACUGAAUCUUGUUGGAAAUUUAGGAGGCUUUGCCCCUCCCCCCCCGGAAAAAGUGAAUUUCUGCCACUGCAUAGGGAAACGCUUGGUGAUCAACUUUACACAUAUUGCCGCUUUAUGCCUUGUGUAGUAAGCAAGUAAAUUUCGUUCAAUUGCAUAUAUUUGAUACCAAACACAAGAUCAAUACUUGUAUUGAAUAUUUAACUCGAUCCGAUAAAUAUGUUUCCAUUUGGAGUUGACCACCAAGCGCUAAACGUAUCACGUGACCCAAACCCAGCUGUACGUUCACAAUCGAGCAGAGGACUGGGUCUAGUUGAUGUUUGAAGGGACGCUUGGAGGGAUGGAUGAGAUGCCUUAUUAUAAGUGUUGCCGUUUCAGGCUGCACAAAUAACUUUAGGAAUGUAGGAAAACUUCGUAGAUGCCAUAUUCGGCAUAUUGUUUAUUUUUGUCCCUCCAAACAAGCGACUAGACCCAGUCCUCUGCUCGAUUGGGAAAUGACUAAUUGAGUAAGGGACUGGUCAUAAUUUAGCAGGAGGGGUGGGGACCUGGAACCAGUGGGGGGUCACAUAUUUUUUAGCCAGGAAAAAGGGGGGUUCAUAAACUGAAGGCGGGGGGGGGGUCUGCUGUUUUAGUUCAAUUAAUUGUUUUAUACAUGCCUUCUCACAUUCUGUUUGAGUUGCAUUGAAAAAAAUUGAUUCUUUAAACUUAGAAUGAAAAGUUUGAAAAAACUAAAGUUUUAUAUGUGACUAUGUACUGGUAUAAUAUAAAUUUUAGUAUUUGAUUUAAAGCGUAACUACAAAAUUAGAAAAUUUAAAGUGCAAUUAGAAAAUUCAUUGAAUGCAGGGUUUAGUAGUAGUAGGUACAUUUUUACUGGCACGAGCAAGAGAGAGAGAGGGGUAUAUACUGACACGAGCAAGAGAGAGGGGGGGGCAUUAGCAGGGUUAUGGCAAAGCAGGGUCACAAAAUAUCAUUCCUUAAAAUUUUGAAUUACACCUCCCCACCCCCCUGAUAAAUUAUGACCAGUCCCUAAACUUGGAACUUUACUCAGUAACUUUACCGAAACAUUUUGAGUCACUGUGUAGGUGCAUUAUUUUACCCAGGUUUAAAGUCAAAAUACUCAGGGAAUUUUUGCAGUGCAUUUCUAAUUCACACUAUAUACAUAUCUUGUCGGUUCAUCAAUUAUUGAUUGAAACACUCAGGGUUGUUGCCCGUCAGGAAUCUAGAACACAAAGAACAGAAAUAAUUUACAAACACAAACUAUUAAAAAUGCUUAAAAUACUCAUUAAUAAUUCAUAAACCUUGUGGCAAAUCAUGCCAGUCAUAAUAUGUCACGUGGAG